UUUAAACAUAGUUUUAUUGUUAAAUAUAACAACAGGAAUAGGACACAAGUUAUCGCAACUUAAAACGCCUUCUUCCAAUAAUCAUUAUGUACAUAAUAUGAAUUUACAAUAUAAUACAGUAUAUAAAAUUUGUAUAUGAUGUAAGAAAAGACAGAGAUGAGGGACAGAAUGAAAAAGAGAGAGAGAGAGAGAGAGAGAGAGAGAGAGAGAGAGAGAGAGAGAGAGAGAGAGAGAGAGAGAGAGAGAGAGAGAGAGAGAGAGAUGACCUAAAAUCGAUUACUGGAUUUAAUAAAAUUUUGAACAUAUUGAAAAAUAUAGCCAUUUUGUUCAUCAGAUAGUUUAGGAGAACCCCAGAGAAUAACAUUAAGAGUCACAUUACAAUAGCGGGAGAGAUUAUCAAAUAAAGUUUCACGCUCUCUUCUGUACAAUAUACAAUCAAAAAAAUAAUGAUACACGUUUUCACACUCAUUACCACAUGCACAGGUUGUAUCAUUAAUUAUAUUUACUCUAUACAAAUCAUAGUUUAAGCUACUACAAACAUGUCUUAACCUUGUGUGUAAAACAUUUAAUUUUCUAUUUCCAGUUAGAUAAUAAAUAGGUAAUAUAUCA